GAGAGGUGCUGCAUGGCUGUCGUCAGCUCGUGUUGUGAAAUGUUGGGUUAAGUCUCGCAACGAGCGCAACCCCUAUCGUCUGUUGCCAGCAUUAAGUUGGGCACUGACGAGACUGCCUGGGUUAACCAGGAGGAAGGUGGGGAUGACGUCAAGUCCUCAUGGCCCUUAUGUCUAGGGCUACACACGUAAUACAAUGGCGCGUACAAAGGGAAGCGAACUCGCAAGGGGGAGCAAAUCUCAAAAAGCGCGUCUCAGUCCGGAUUGGAGUCUGCAACUCGACUCCACGAAGUUGGAAUCGCUAGUA
rnacentral:rRNA from 1 species